CCCGGAAGUAGACGCAGGGGCUGACAGCAGAUGGGAUUUUAUUGAAACACAGUUGCUGCAGAUGUAAUGCGAUGAUGUGAAAUGAACAUGUUUGGGAUGGUAGAAAGACUGUCCGGGUCUGGUGAAUUUCAGAAGUAGCUAAUGCUUGUAUGACGGAGCCCGACUGACCUGCAGCCGAGCCUCCCUGUCUGCUUCACCAUGCCGCUGGUGGUGGAUGCUGUGUGGGCGCUGUGGAGCAUCGCGGCCGGCAUCUACGACUACUUCCACACCAGUGCCAUGGAGGAGAGGAUCCACACGCUGGAGAACGUCCUCUCUAUCCACCAGUUUGUGAUCGCUGCCCUGUCGGCGGGCCUCAUCCUGCUCAUGACGUACAUACUAUUGAGAAAACACUAAAACCCAGGCUGACCUGGGCUUCUCCAGCCAAGCCCAAGCACCCAGUACAUGUCGUUUUCAUUGCAGGAUGUUUUUCAUUAUCCAGGGUAACUUCCAUCCUUAUGUGGGCCAGAGUCAGUUUGGUUGAAGAUCGAGCAUGCUCAGCUAUGAUGAUGAUGGCCCAGAUGAAGUCAGAAGUGCUGAUGGGCACCGACAAUGAACAAAACUCCAUCAACGCAGUCUCUGAAAACACGAGUACACUUCGGGUGUCGGGCGCUUGGUCAGUCUGUCUGUCGCUGUACUUUAAAUGUUAAACUAGCCUGAAACGGUCUACAGACCAUCGUCCACAUUAAUACAAAAAAACAAAAAAAACAGCUUCUCAAGGUAACUUUGCACAUCUUUAUCCAAGCUUGAAGUAUUUCACUGUUUUGUUGGUGAUGACAGCUUUUUAUGAAAAGUGGAAACACUUUUGAUUUGUUACAGAAACAAAGUGGGACGGUGGUUGCCACUGAGUUUUUUAACCCUAUUAUUUUAAGAUGACAACAUAAUUACCUCCACAUCAACUAUUUUCUCAUGCUUACAAAUUAAUCAUGUUACUUUUCUGAUUUUUUUGUUCCACUUAUUAAGUAAACGACCAGUAGCAGUUCAUACAGAUUAACUGAUUUGAAUUUGUUGAAAAUUAUUUGACAAAUGAUGCCCAUAACAGAAAACAGCAUCAGAGUUAGAUUUUUGUACAAAAAUUGGAUUUCAAUUCACUUUAAUGUUUCUUUUCAUAUUUAUUUAUUUAUCAAAAGACCCAAGACAAAGACUAAUGAAUAAAAUUAGAAACAAAGUGAUCUUAAAUCUGCAUUUCCCAUUGAUAACUUUAUCAAGCACUGGAAUUUCAUCCAUCAUUAGGGUAAGAUUGUAUCAUAUUUGUUAGGUUUUAGUGGGACCGGGUUGCCAAAUAAUAGUAGGUUCCGCUCUUUAACACUGGUCUUGGAUCAUGCGACUUCGUGGAUGUGGUUAAACGGAAGUUCAUCACAUCAAACAUCCCAUCUCCGACGUCGGUCCUAGCUCGCAGAGUUAGUUCAAAGGCUGGAAGUGAUCUCGUUGCACUGUUAAAGCAAAGACUAUAAUCCGAGCAGAGAUUUUAAUGCCUAUGGCGGUUGUGGUUUGUAAUUAUCCUGGAGUAACAGGAUAAGCAGAAAAAAAAACACUUCAAACACUGGGACGUUAAUUCAUCCUUUAUGUGAUUUCUGUUUUCUUGCUGAGGAGAAAAUGUUGGAUGUUAAGUAUUUUAUUUAGUGUUGUCUAAUGUGCUUUGCAAAGGCAGCUUCUGUGUGUGUUUAAUUUGUCCGGGUUUUCUUUUUUUUUCCUUUUAUGUCUGUGUUUCAAAUGAUUUAGAGUUACUUGGUUGCUGUCACUGCUGUACCUGCUUACUCUCUGGGGUUCAUUGCUACUGUACCGUAUGCACUACUGUACAUUUGACUCUGUUCAACCACUACCAUGGCUACUAUUAAAGGGAAUAUGUUUAAAUAAUAAUCAGAA